rnacentral:rRNA from 1 species
UACGGAGGGUGCAAGCGUUAUCCGGAAUCAUUGGGUUUAAAGGGUCCGUAGGCGGGCAUAUAAGUCAGUGGUGAAAGUCUGUGGCUCAACCAUAGAAUUGCCAUUGAUACUGUAUGUCUUGAAUUAUUGUGAAGUGGUUAGAAUAUGUAGUGUAGCGGUGAAAUGCUUAGAGAUUACAUAGAAUACCGAUUGCGAAGGCAGAUCACUAACAAUAUAUUGACGCUGAUGGACGAAAGCGUAGGUAGCGAAC